CCGCUACUAAAUGUGUGCUCGGAAUUUUCUCCUCUUCGAACCAAUAGCACCGCCGCCGGCCAAAAGAGCAGCAGAACGCAUCAGACGGCCCGCAAGAUGGAGCGAUCUGUUCGAGAAGAGAUAAAUAUUUUGAUUUGAGAGGAAAACCGAGAACGCACACUGAACUCGCGAACAGACAGUACGAAAA